AUUGAACGCUGGCGGCACGCUUAACACAUGCAAGUCGAACGGCAGCACGAAGGGGUAACUCUUUGGUGGCGAGUGGCGAACGGGUGAGUAACGCGUAGGGAUCUGCCUGUUAGAGGGGGAUAAGCCGGGGAAACUCGGUCUAAUACCGCAUACGCUCUACGGAGGAAAGUAUGGGAUUUAAUUACCAUACGCUAACAGAUGAACCUGCGUUAGAUUAGCUAGUUGGUAGGGUAAAGGCCUACCAAGGCGACGAUCUAUAGCUGGUCUGAGAGGAUGACCAGCCACACUGGAACUGAGAGACGGACCAGACUCCUACGGGAGGCAGCAGUGGGGGAAUAUUGGACAAUAGGGGGGCGGAACCCCUACGAUCCACGCGAUGCCGCCGUGUGUGAAGAA
rnacentral:rRNA from 1 species